rnacentral:rRNA from 1 species
CAGGGAUUGCCCUAGUAACGGCGAGUGAAGCGGCAACAGCUCAAAUUUGAAAUCUGGCGUCUUUGGCGUCCGAGUUGUAAUUUGCAGAGGGCGCUUUGGCAUUGGCAGCGGUCCAAGUUCCUUGGAACAGGACGUCACAGAGGGUGAGAAUGCCGUACGUGGUCGCUAGCCUUUACCGUGUAAAGCCCCUUCGACGAGUCGAGUUGUUUGGGAAUGCAGCUCUAAAUGGGAGGUAAAUUUCUUCUAAAGCUAAAUACUGGCCAGAGACCGAUAGCGCACAAGUAGAGUGAUCGAAAGAUGAAAAGCACUUUGGAAAGAGAGUUAAAAAGCACGUGAAAUUGUUGAAAGGGAAGCGCUUGCAGCCAGACUUGCCUGUAGUUGCUCAUCCGGGUUUUUACCCGGUGCACUCUUCUAUAGGCAGGCCAGCAUCAGUUUGGGCGGUUGGAUAAAGGUCUCUGUCAUGUACCUCUCUUCGGGGAGAACUUAUAGGGGAGACGACAUGCAACCAGCCUGGACUGAGGUCCGCGCAUCUGCUAGGAUGCUGGCGUAAUGGCUGUAAGCGGCCCGUCUUGAAACACGGACCAAGGAGUCUAACAUCUAUGCGAGUGUUUGGGUGUCAAGCCCGAGCGCGUAAUGAAAGUGAACGGAGGUGGGAACCUUUCGGGGUGCACCAUCGACCGAUCCUGAUGUCUUCGGAUGGAUUUGAGUAAGAGCAUAGCUGUUGGGACCCGAAAGAUGGUGAACUAUGCUUGAAUAGGGUGAAGCCAGAGGAAACUCUGGUGGAGGCUCGCAGCGGUUCUGACGUGCAAAUCGAUCGUCAAAUUUGGGCAUAGGGGCGAAAGACUAAUCG